UGAUCCAAUUGAACCGCAGGCUUCACCCCUUGGUGGUGCUCCCCCGCCAAUUCUUUAAGUUUCAUACUUGCGUACGUACUUCCCAGGCGGCAGACUUAACGGCUUCCCUGCGGCACUGCAUUGGCCACAAGCCAAUGCAUCACCGAGUCUGCAUCGUUUACAGCCGGGACUACCCGGGUAUCUAAUCCGGUUUGCUCCCCCAGCUUUCAUCCCUCACCGUCGAACGUGUUCUGGUACACCGCCUUCGCCACAGGUGGUCUUCAAUAGAUCAAAGGAUUUUACCCCUUCCUAUCGAGUACCGUGUACCUCUCCCACUCCCUAGCUGCACAGUAUUUUCGGCGGCCUAUACGUUAAGCGCAUAGAUUUAACCGAAAACUUAUGCAACCGGCUACGGAUGCUUUAGGCCCAAUAAACCUCCUGACCACUCGAGGUGCUGGUUUUACCGCGGCGGCUGACACCAGAACUUGCCCACCCCUUAUUCACCAGUGAUUCUACAACUGACAAAAGACUCCUUUAGCAGGAGACACUCGGAUUAACCUUGUCGUGCUUUCGCACAUUGCAAAGGUUUCUCGCCUGCUGCGCCCCAUAGGGCCUGG
rnacentral:rRNA from 1 species